rnacentral:rRNA from 1 species
GACGAACGCUGGCGGCGUGCUUAACACAUGCAAGUCGAACGAUGAAGCCUUCGGGUGGAUUAGUGGCGAACGGGUGAGUAACACGUGGGUGAUCUGCCCUGCACUUUGGGAUAAGCCUGGGAAACUGGGUCUAAUACCGAAUAUGAUCAUGCUCUUCAUGGGGUGUGGUGGAAAGCUUUUGCGGUGUGGGAUGGGCCCGCGGCCUAUCAGCUUGUUGGGGGGGUAAUGGCCUACCAAGGCGACGACGGGUAGCCGGCCUGAGAGGGUGACCGGCCACACUGGGACUGAGAUACGGCCCAGACUCCUACGGGAGGCAGCAGUGGGGAAUAUUGCACAAUGGGCGCAAGCCUGAUGCAGGGACGCCGCGUGAGGGAUGACGGCCUUCGGGUUGUAAACCUCUUUCAGUAGGGACGGAGCGAAAGUGACGGUACCUGCAGAAGAAGGACCGGCCAACUACGUGCCAGCCGCCGCCGUAAUAC